AUCAUUUUCUCUCUCUCUUCCUCACCUGGUCUCUCUCCAUCCCUCGGCAGCACCACCACCGUGAGCCACCAUCAGCCACCCCAAGCUCCAAAAAAAUCCUAACAUGAGAAUUCCCUAUCCUAUCCUCCUUCUAGAGCUCUCCAAGAACUCUAUUUAUACGAGGUGCCCUUUCACGGGAGAAAUCACAUCUCAUCUCCUAAUACGCUCCAUAGCCCUCUCCCUCAAAAUAGCUUGGUUAGAAAUCGAAGAUUGAAGAGGUUCAAGAGCAUUUUUCUUUUGGCUAGCUUUCUUUCUAACACCAGGUAAGGAAUCGAAAUCCUUGCUGCAAAUGGAGGUAUCAAGUAUCAAGAAAGGAAUCUCGGAAAAUAAUCUAAAAGACACUCCUCUUCUUCGUUUCAUGUUAUUCUUGCAUUUUCGUGUUUAAUUUUGUUGAUUCUUGCAUUUUAAAUCAUUGCAUGUAUGAUCAGACUGCAUAAUCCGUAGAUUCAAGCCUUUUAAAAAGGGAGUGACAAAGAAAUUUUGAGUUAUUAGUGAGUUUUUGAAGAAAAUCAGAUUUUGGUAAAAUUAGGGGCAUGCAUGUGAAGAUCUAGUAAGCUAGGGGACUAAUCUGUAAAUUUCUAAAAGAUCGGUUAAAUUUAGUUAAAAAUAAGAAUUUUUAGUUUCUGAAGUUUUGGAUUUAAUAGAUUAAUUAUCUUGAAUGAAUAAAUGAAGGUUUGGAAGGAAAUGGAAAUUUUGGGGUAGAAAUUGUAAUUUUCAGAAACUUGCUGUUCUUCGAAUUU